rnacentral:rRNA from 1 species
AACGCAGCGAAGGGCGAAAAGUGUCAUGACUUGCAGACUUCCCGAGAGCUGAACAAAUCUCUGAAUGCAAAUGGCGGCCGGUAGAAAACGGCCGUGUAUUGCAGAGUGUAGAUGUUACAUCUCUUCACUCCCCCAUGCCACACACAUGUUGUGCUUGGAGAUAGGGAUCUGCGCUUGCAACGAGCUCGUCUCUUUGCGAGUGUUAAAUUGGAGUGGCUUUGCUGGGACUCGUUCCAGCAGAGCAACUUCGCAAACUAGCUGUGUCUCACACAACAAGAGUGUGAAGUGAAGACUCCUUUCCUUUACCAACCUACCUCUGCAAUGCAAGAUUACCCGCUGAACUUAA